rnacentral:rRNA from 1 species
CCUACGGGAGGCAGCAGUGGGGAAUAUUGCGCAAUGGACGAAAGUCUGACGCAGCGACGCCGCGUGAGGGAAGAAGGCCUUUGGGUCGUAAAGCUCUGUCCUAAGGGAAGAAGGAAGUGACGGUACCUUAGGAGGAAGCCCCGGCUAACUACGUGCCAGCAGCCGCGGUAAUACGUAGGGGGCAAGCGUUAUCCGGAAUUAUUGGGCGUAAAGAGUACGUAGGCGGUUCUUUAAGCGCAGGGUUUAAGGCGAUAGCUUAACUAUCGUUCGCCCUGUGAACUGGGGGACUUGAGUAUCGGAGAGGG